UUGUCUAUAUGCGGGAUAUUUUCCAGCAGCACUAUGAACCUGCAGUGGAAGACUUUUGGUCCAAGUGCUUUAAGCAAUCCCAGUAAAAUUCCUCACCUGUUGCUUUUUCCAGAUUUUUCAAGACGCCGGGUUUGCGCACACCCACAGUAAAUGAACGUGUUUACACCAUCUCUGCUAAUGGCAGCCCCCUUGCUGAUGGCAAUGAUGUCUUCAUUACCGUUCCAGUUGGAGGAGGGGAGAGUAUUCGUUGAACAGCAAGUGGUCUGACCAA